rnacentral:lncRNA from 1 species
CUUUGACCAGAACUGCAACAUUUCAAACACAAACCCAGAUCUGUUGGGAAAUCCUAAUUAAAAACGUUGCAUUCCCAGGUGGCACAAUCACAUCCUGCCUAAAACUUCUGGCCCACAUCCCACCACCCAGAUGUUGAAAAGAAACCUUUCUCUGCUUAACACCAAAACCUGACAGGAAUUGAAGAAGAGACUAUAUGCUGGUGCUCUGAAAUGAUCUACCCAACUCUGUCAUCUGUAACAACCAGUGAUAACUCUCUUGUCUUGUAAAAAGGGUUUGUACAUAACUUGUACAUGGUUUCAUUUUGUAUUUUUCGCAGAUUAAAAAUUUAUGUAUUUGUGUUCUAAA